GGGCGUGUGGCUCAGUUGGUAGAGCGUUCGCUUAGCAUGGUUGUCCACCUUGCGAAAGGUCCUGGGUUCGAUUCCCAGCCCGUCCA